CGGGGAGGAGCCGCGGGUCCCGGCCCGGGAGAGGCGCCCGGCAGCGCCCGCUGCCUCUGCCCGACCCCAUCCCGCCCGGGCCACCGCCGCUGGCCCCCACCGCGGCCUCGGCCGCCCCUCGGGGCCCCUCAGCGCGGCCCCCCUUCUCGUUAUUCCCGUGGUCCCUGAGCGCUUCCCUGCUGCUCCCUUCCCCGAGAAGCUGCCGGUCCCCGCCCGGCGCCCGGGUCCUGCGCUGCGCCCCAGGCGGGAGCGGCCGGCGGGGCUCCGGCGCCAGCCCGGGCGCUCGGUGCCCGGGAACCUAAGGCCGAGCCAGAAACCCUCCAGAUGUUUUCAUUCCUUUGCAGAGUUCCUGGCUCCUGCCUGAUGUGUUCCUUUCCCCGCAGCCAUCUCUGGUUUCCUUCAGUGCUUGUUAUUUGUUCCAGCCUGGUUCCGCGCGGGCGCUGGCGCCUGCUCUCUGUUCUGGGGGAUGUCCUCGCUGCAGACCACCCCUUCCUAGCCGGUGUGGUUACCCCCAGGGCCGCGGCGAGGCCGUGCCUGGUGCGAGCCAGGUGCCGCGAUGCCGGUCGGUCCCAGCGGGUGAGCGCAAAGUCCUGCUCGCUGGAGCACAGUAAACGGACAGGAGGUGUUUCCUUGUGCCGGCACUCCAGCGGGUCCCGCCUGGCAGCCCCGGGCUGGUUUGACGGCGGGGCACCUACGCGGAAACUGGUACCACCAGCUCCAGCUGGGCACGGCCACCCCCAGGACACCAGUUACACCACUCUGCUCCCCGUGUCUCAGCUGGGUGCCCAAAGCUCCCAGCGUCACCUUGUCCCACGCCUGCCCGGCAGGACUUCUGGAGCAAACCACAGGUGCUUUCCACGGUGGAAGGCAGACGUCCAGCCGGGAACAGGUACGAGGACAGAGAAGGCAAAGGUUAGAACCAAAGAUAAAAUACACAGCGCUGCCCGGGAGACUUUCCUGCCCGUGUGUUUCCGCAAGUCCCUUCGCCCUCCUGUGACAGCCGCCCAUUUUAUGUGGAGCUGUUUCUGUUUCCGCUCUGCCAGUUGUUGGUCAGUUCAAAGGUCUUUUCCAGGGAGGUGACACUUUCUGCCUUCACAUAUUCUUUGUGGAAUUCUCCUGUUUUUGUAUUCACAUGUGCUGGACACGUCCUUAGCUGGACGUUGCUGUGUCCCUGGAUUGACUCCGCUCUUCAAGUGUAGGCAGCUCAUACGGAAAUCUUUAAGAUCCUUUUAGCUUGUGACACCUUGACUUCUUGGGACACGUUACAGGAGUGAAGCUCUUGCCCAAACAGGAGACAGAGGUGCUAUAGGGUCAGUAGAUGCUCCCGCAGCAUCGUACUGUCUCUGUAUCCUUACUGCCCCCUCGUCCCUGCUGCCCUGACGAUGCCUCCGUGUCCCACUGCCUCUUCCCUUGCCCCGUCAUCCCCAAUGCCUCCUCCACAUCAGAGUAAGCCUCCUUUUGUUCCUUCCCCGACUUCAUUUUUUCUUGCUGGAUAAUGUAUUGUAGGACAUAUUUGUCUUGCUGGUUCAUUUUCAGGCACAACUAACAUGAUCCUUGUUCAUCUGGUUGUCCUGACUGUCAGGUACCAACAGGCAGGGGAAACCUGGUCCGUCCAUAGUACACCUUUUCUGCGGUAAGGACAGAGCCUCACUGUCCCGCUCAGGCUCAAACAACCGGGCUGUGGUAAAGCAGGGAGCCAGACCUGAGUUUUCGGUGCCCAGCGCUGCCCAUUGGGUGCUGCUGAAGGGUGACCCCCAGGCCCUCGUCUCCACGAGACCGGAGGGGGCUUUGCGCCGGGCAUGCAUUUCGAACCCGGGUCUCCCCUGACCGGCACCGGGUGCUCUGGAGCAGAACCCUGCCUGUGUCUUGCCCCAGGAGCUGGCUGCUGUUUUCUUCACCAGUCUCCAAGAGGCAGUUUCCACCUGGGAUCCCCUAAUGUGUGGCCUGCUGCAGAGAGCCUCUGUCACGGUCUGUCCUGAGGCCUUUCUCAGGUUGGUUCUGUGCUUUGUCUCACCUUAUCCCACGACCAGUUUGCAGUCGUGGACCUAGUCUGGGGAUGAUGUGCCUGCAUCCUGCAGCACUACGCUGCAGAGAGAGCGCUGCCGCCUUUACCCCAUCUUUCCGUGGACUCCUCCCUGGCUGCCUGAGCGUGGGAACACCUCCAGAGUGCCUCCGUUUGGGCUGGGACACGAGCCUAAGGGGGUCGGGAGGUCUCAGGUAGUGAGACUGGAUGAGGAGGGGUCUGUAGGUACAGACCGUGCUGGCCUGUGGCAUUCAUGGUGCCACAGGAAGGCUUUGCGGCUUGCAUGGGUUUUGCUCCGUCAGAGGGACUGGAGAGGAGGAGGGACUAGUCCUGCUCAGCAGGCGCUGGGCAACAGGGUGUUCACAAAUGUGGAACUUGGGGUUCUUUUCAGAUCUCAUUCAGUUUUAUCAGUUUGAUGAUUACAGCUGGCCCUGGGCACCGCUGCAACAAGGACUCUGGUUUGAACCACUCCGACAUACUUUUACAGAUGUUUUGACUGGAAGGAAGACAGAGGCCCUGAAAGUUGCUUCAUAGUGGCAGUCCAGAGGGGCCCAUUUUGCAGUGAUGUGCACUGGCCAGAAGCCCCUUGUUUUAUUCAGUGUGGGUCCCCAGUGCGUAUUAUUUUGAGUGUUCUCUGCACACUAUAAAGCUGUGUC